rnacentral:rRNA from 1 species
AGCUCCAAUAGCGUAUAUUAAAGUUGUUGCAGUUAAAAAGCUCGUAGUUGGAUUUUGAUUGACUGUUGAGGUUUCAGCUCCGGCGCAAUGCUGUGAGCGACUCGCAGUUGGUCAGCUAGCCUUUUAUUAGGUUGGCUUUUUCGAAUUGCACGCCCCAGUUACUUAAUCGUGCUGGGAGAAUUUGGGCAUCGAAUCGUUUACUUUGAAAAAAUUAGAGUGUUUAAAGCAGGCAUAACCAGCCACUGAAUACUUUAGCAUGGGAUAAUAGAACAUGACUUUGAGACAUGUUUUGUUGGUUUUGAUUCUCAAAGUAAUGAUUAAAAGGGACAGUUGUGGGUAUUGGUAUUCUGUGGUCAGAGGUGAAAUUCUAAGAUUCACAGAAGACCGACUACUGCGAAAGCAUUUACCAAGGAUGUUUUCAUUA